rnacentral:rRNA from 1 species
ACGAACGCUGGCGGCGUGGAUAAGACAUGCAAGUCGAACGGGAGAAUUGCUAGCUUGCUAAUAAUUCUCUAGUGGCGCACGGGUGAGUAACACGUGAGUAACCUGCCUCUUAGUGGGGGAUAGCCCUGGGAAACCGGGAUUAAUACCGCAUACGAUUGAAAGAUCAAAGCAGCAAUGCGCUAGGAGAUGGGCUCGCGGCCUAUUAGUUAGUUGGUGAGGUAACGGCUCACCAAGGCGAUGACGGGUAGCCGGUCUGAGAGGAUGUCCGGCCACACUGGAACUGAGACACGGUCCAGACACCUACGGGUGGCAGCAGUCGAGAAUCAUUCACAAUGGGGGCAACCCUGAUGGUGCGACGCCGCGUGGGGGAAUGAAGGUCUUCGGAUUGUAAACCCCUGUCAUGUGGGAGCAAAUUAAAAAGAUAGUACCACAAGAGGAAGAGACGGCUAACUCUGUGCCAGCAGCCGCGGUAAUACAGAGGUCUCAAGCGUUGUUCGGAAUCACUGGGCGUAAAGCGUGCGUAGGCUGUUUCGUAAGUCGUGUGUGAAAGGCAGGGGCUCAACCCCUGGAUUGCACAUGAUACUGCGAGACUAGAGUAAUGGAGGGGGAACCGGAAUUCUCGGUGUAGCAGUGAAAUGCGUAGAUAUCGAGAGGAACACUCGUGGCGAAGGCGGGUUCCUGGACAUUAACUGACGCUGAGGCACGAAGGCCAGGGGAGCGAAAGGGAUUAGAUACCCCUGUAGUCCUGGCAGUAAACGGUGCACGCUUGGUGUGCGGGGAAUCGACCCCCUGCGUGCCGGAGCUAACGCGUUAAGCGUGCCGCCUGGGGAGUACGGUCGCAAGAUUAAAACUCAAAGAAAUUGACGGGGACCCGCACAAGCGGUGGAGUAUGUGGCUUGAUUCGAUGCAACGCGAAGAACCUUACCUGGGCUUGACAUGUAAUGAACAACAUGUGAAAGCAUGCGACUCUUCGGAGGCGUUACACAGGUGCUGCAUGGCCGUCGUCAGCUCGUGUCGUGAGAUGUUUGGUUAAGUCCAGCAACGAGCGCAACCCCUGUUGCCAGUUACCAGCACGUCAAGGUGGGGACUCUGGCGAGACUGCCCAGAUCAACUGGGAGGAAGGUGGGGACGACGUCAGGUCAGUAUGGCCCUUAUGCCCAGGGCUGCACACGUACUACAAUGCCCAGUACAGAGGGGGCCGAAGCCGCGAGGCGGAGGAAAUCCUGAAAACUGGGCCCAGUUCGGACUGUAGGCUGCAACCCGCCUACACGAAGCCGGAAUCGCUAGUAAUGGCGCAUCAGCUACGGCGCCGUGAAUACGUUCCCGGGUCUUGUACACACCGCCCGUCACAUCAUGGAAGCCGGUCGCACCCGAAGUAUCUGAAGCCAACCGCAAGGAGGCAGGGUCCUAAGGUGAGACUGGUAACUGGGAUG